AAGAAUUUUCAGAUGAUGUUGGUUGGAUUGGUAGCAUAUUUAAUUAUUGCUGAAGUUGAAAUUAGUUCCUAUAAGCAGAGGAAUAGUAUUGGCAUCUAUUUGUUUCACAUGCUAUUACCACAUGCUUUACACAGCUUACCCAUUUCUCAGCUCGGUUUAUUAGUAAGGCAGAUAAUUGCUUCAAGCAGCCUUGAGUAGAGAGGAACCUAAGCAUACUUUUUCCAUAGUCUCUUUUUCUUUUUUGUUUUUUAACUGCUUUAGUUUCCGUUAGGAGAUGAUGUUUCCUGAUGUGUUUUAUUAGAAAAAUAGCAGCAUCUACAGGCUGAAUAGACUAAUCCCAAAUCAAGAGUCCUAUUGUACAGGAGAUUCUCAGUCAUUUUUUUGGAUUCUCCAGUCUUCCACUUUUUGCAGAUGCUAGCUGUUUUUAUUUCCAGCUGCAUUAAGGUUGCUGCAAAUGUGUUUUGUGUGUUCUUGAUAAUCACUUUUUUGUAUGAGUAAUUACUGGCAGGGGAGAAGGUCCAUGGAGUAUCCUUUCAGUUACUGGAAAUGUUGGAAUCUUGAAACUGUUCAGAUAUAGCCUCCAAAUCUGUAAGAUAGUAAUAAAGCUCUCAAUCUCAUCUACUUGCAAAAUAUGCUGCUUAUGUAUCAUUAAACCUUAAGUAGUUUGUUUCUUUCAUUCCUUUCUGCUGUUGCAGCUUCAGCUCUCCUUCCCUUUGCCCUCCUCCCAGUCCCCUGCCACUAUUUUCAGGAUAUAAAAAAUGAGCCCAGCAUCAGACUUUUCCGAGCUGACUCAGAUCCCUGAGUUUAGCAAUCGUUUGCAAAGGCUCUGCUCCAGAGAUGUUUGAGCAGUGCCACAGCCAUGAAUCCUGGAUGUUGCUAUGGGACUGAUACUGAAAAAUGAAAAACAUCAGGGGGCAGAGGAGCUUGGGAAAAAUUGUAGUAAAGCAUAAAUGUUUUUUAAAAUAGAUUUUUAUCAAAACAUAAACUUCAGCAUAAAUUCAACUCUACACCUCAUUCAUCCCUUUAUAUAUAAUCUGAAAUAUUCCUGUCUUCGGGACUUAUUUUGUCAACCUUUUUCUGAACUGCAGGAUUUUGGAGGACAGGAAGGUCUUGGCUCUCUGUGUUCUCACUAAACGUUGGUGGGAUAUAGGAGGGAUUUCCCUUUACUGCUUGUGUGCCAUGCUAGUAAUUUGAAGUGCAACAUGCAGUAAGUGUUGUAAUGAGUAUAAAAAGUCAGAAUGGAGAGCUUUUGCUGGCAGGACUUUGAAGCUGAUCUGCUGUCUGAGAAGGUUCCAACCAGGACCCAAAGGUUUGAUGCAUAUCUGCCAAGCACAGAGAACACAUGAUAAACAGACAAAAAGAUACUGAUCCUCCCUGGAAGAAAAUUGUUUCUAUGCAGAACUUUGGUCAUUUUGCACAUGGUGGGAGCAUUCCCAAAAAGCAGCAUGGAGCAUCUUUGAACUUUAACACUUUGGAGAUCACUUUUUGGUGGGUGGGAGAGCAGAGACUGAGGUAAUCCAUGUGCAGGGGUGCCAGUAAUGUGCCUGCCAUGCAGUUUUUGGCAGAUUACCUAUACAGGGGUGAGUCACGUAAUUUACAAUAAAGAAUCCUAGGUGUAAUUGAGGAUGGAAAUUCUAGAUGUGUUUUGUAAAGGCAGAAAAUAAAAUUAGACGGGUUUAAACAUGCAUGUUUCUUGUACACAUUGUGUGUGGAAAAAAUACUUCUGUCUCCUAAAGCAUUGUAAAUUCCAAGUGUUAGGCGCACAGACUACAAUCUGGUUUUGAGAAAAUGCAUUAACCAUCACUUUAUAGCUGCUUUUUCAUACCUGUAACAAAAGUCACAGUGGAGAAUGCCUGUGUCUUGUUCAGGCUUGUCUUUUCCGUGCCAGUUUGAUGGCAAAUCUCUUUUUCUUUGUCUGAACCAGGAUUUUUGCAGCCACUUACUCAGAGUUUUAUUACUGUAUAGGUGCCUUUAGACAUGGUUUCUUAUAAAC